CCUACGGGAUGCAGCAGUGAGGAAUAUUGGUCAAUGGGAGAGAUCCUGAACCAGCCAAGCCGCGUGAGGGAAGACGGCCCUAUGGGUGGUAAACCUCUUUUGUCGGAGAACAAAACCCGGGACGUGUCCAGGACUGCGUGUAUCCGAAGAAAAAGCAUCGGCUAACUCCGUGCCAGCAGCCGCGGUAAUACGGAGGAUGCGAGCGUUAUCUGGAUUUAUUGUGUUUAAAGGGUGCGUAGGCGGUACGUUAAGUCAGCGGAAAAAGUGCGGGGCACAACCCCGUCGAGCCGUUGAAACUGGCAGACUUGAGUUGGCGAGAAGUACGCGGAAUGCGCGGUGUAGCGGUGAAAUGCAUAGAUAGCGCGCAGAACUCCGAUUGCGAAGGCAGCGUACCGGCGCCAGACUGACGCUGAGGCACGGAAGCGUGGGGAUCGAACAGGAUUAGAUACCCGAGUAGUC
rnacentral:rRNA from 1 species